rnacentral:rRNA from 1 species
UACGUAGGGGGCAAGCGUUGUCCGGAUUUACUGGGCGUAAAGAGCGCGUAGGCGGAGAUCUAAGCGUGGCCUGAAAGCCCCCGGCUCAACCGGGGAGUGCGGCUGCGAACUGGGUUCUUGAGGACGAUAGAGGAGAGUGGAAUUCCUGGUGUAGCGGUGAAAUGCGUAGAUAUCAGGAGGAACACCCGAGGCGAAGGCGGCUCUCUGGGUCGUACCUGACGCUGAGGCGCGAAAGCGUGGGGAGCGAACGGG